rnacentral:rRNA from 1 species
UACGUAGGGUGCGAGCGUUGUCCGGAAUUAUUGGGCGUAAAGGGCUCGUAGGCGGUUUGUCGCGUCGGGAGUGAAAACGCCGUGCUUAACACGGCGCUUGCUUUCGAUACGGGCAGACUAGAGGUAUUCAGGGGAGAACGGAAUUCCUGGUGUAGCGGUGAGAUGCGCAGAUAUCAGGAGGAACACCGGUGGCGAAGGCGGUUCUCUGGGAAUGACCUGACGCUGAGGAGCGAAAGUGUGGGGAGCGAACAGG